UACGGAAGGUGCGAGCGUUGUUCGGAGUGAUUGGGCGUAAAGCGCACGUAGGCGGGUUUGUAAGUCGGUUGUGAAAUCCCUGGGCUCAACCCAGGAGGGUCAUCCGAGACUGCAGAUCUUGAAUGCCUGAGAGGUUAGUGGAAUUCCUGGUGUAGGAGUGAAAUCCGUAGAUAUCAGGAGGAACACCGGAGGCGAAGGCGGCUAACUGGUGGUGCAUUGACGCUGAGGUGCGAAAGCGUGGGUAGCAAACAGG
rnacentral:rRNA from 1 species